rnacentral:tRNA from 1 species
GUUCGGGUAGCUCAGGGGUAGAGCACUUCGUUGACAUCGAAGUGGUCGUUGGUUCAAAUCCAAUCUCGAACACCA